rnacentral:rRNA from 1 species
UGAACCUGCGGAAGGAUCAUUAUUGAAAUAAACCUGCUGGGUUGUUGCUGGCUCUCYAGGGAGCAUGUGCACGCCUUGUCAUCUUUAUAUCUCCACCUGUGCACYUUUUGUAGACAUCUUUCNCAGGUGUCUAUGUUGACCCUUCANUUUGCCCCCCAAUGUAUGUCAAUAGAAUGUUGUGUCCAUGAUAAUAAAAUCUAUACAACUUUCAGCAACGGAUCUCUUGGCUCUCGCAUCGAUGAAGAACGCAGCGAAAUGCGAUAAGUAAUGUGAAUUGCAGAAUUCAGUGAAUCAUCGAAUCUUUGAACGCACCUUGCGCUCCUUGGUAUUCCGAGGAGCAUGCCUGUUUGAGUGUCAUUAAUAUUAUAUAUCGAACCCUCNNUUUUGUUGAGUGGUUYGGAUGUGGGGUUUGCUGGCCUCUUGAAGAGGUCAGCUUCCCUGAAAUGCAUUAGCAGAACAACCUGUUCGUUCAUUGGUGUGAUAACUAUCUACGCUAUUGAACGGUGAAGGCAAGUUCAGCUUCCUAACCGUCUUUGGACAAUUUAUCAUCUAUAUGUGACCUCAAAUCAGGUAGGACUA